GCGAUAAUUCCGUUACGAUGCAUCGAACACCGGCAAAUGCGAUUCGACGAACCGACGCUUGCCUCUGACGUCACGAGGUGACGUUAUUGUGCGGCAUACAACGGCACAGAUAUUCCUUCAAUUAAAUAUUCAUUGUAUAUACCCCCCCCCCCGCCCCCUACCCUCAUCCCAUCGGUUUGGAGACAAGUCAGUCCGACACACUUUGAAUACGCACGCGUAGGCUCGGUGAAUACCGUGACCGGUGGUGCUCGACCCAUUCCCGGUGCGUUACGGUAACAGCGGAUUCCGGUUAACGUCUAUUAGCCUGAAUCGCGUCCCGUUAAAAAUGCGAGAGACGGGGUGAAACGCGGGUAACGGCAACCCUCCCGCGGCGCUGUGCAGGUCCUCCUUUUUGAGGUUUUGCUGUCGUUCUUUUUCACACGCGGUCUCCCAACGAUGAGACUCGAUGUCCGCGGGAGGCUGAAGCGUGAAAUCCAACGCAAAAAAAGGGAGUUAGCGUGUGGUGUUAGCCGAACUAGCCUCCCGCCGCCUUUAGCUUAUGCAGAAUGAAAAAUAAAAAUGUUAAGUUAAAUGCACAACGACUACUUCCAAGAGCGUGACAAGUCGGGAAACUUGGCCCUGGGUAAUGCACGGGUCAAUGUUAUCUUAGCGCAAUUAAAUGAAAUCUGGUGGCAUCCCGGCUGAUUUGGUACCUGGUUUUGGAAGAAGAAGAAGAAAAAGAGACGCCCAGUGCCAGUAUCUCUCCCGAGAUAUAACGUUGGCUAACGAUGUUAGCUUGGUCUAAAGCUAACUAACCAGGGCAGCUACCCACCGGUGGCCAGCCGUCGUUGAUCAUCGUACACAUACAUGGAGGCUUAACCGGUCAGGGCUUUCCUCUGCAGCGUAAACCUCGGAAGCAGCCCCCGCGCCGUGAGGCAUUUCGUCGCGAUAGCAGAGAAAUUACAACAAAAAGAAGAAGAAGAAGAAAAAUACUCACUCCGUUCUCUGAAGAGCACCCCAGGUCCCUUUCUCUCUGUAACUCCCCCUCAGUCUCAGCAGAGACGAGACUCUCUCCCCUGAUCUGAGGUGAAAUCCCGCCCACUGCGCUGUCACAGCCACAGAGGAAGUCUCCGGCCGGAGUGGUCAAGAUAGUUACCCUCCCACUUGAGCCCGCGGGCAGCCAGCUCUGCUGAACCGGAAACCACGUGACACCUGCGUGCCGCUGCGUUGUAACGCAGGUUAGACUUACGGACGUCGAGUACACGUCUAACGACCAGUAUUUGUCGUCUAACGCUAACGUCCUUUUUAGCUCGAGCGUUACUUAUUAUAUGCACACGAGACACAAUGUUAGACACGCAGCGUGCUCAAGACUAGCGCCUUUUCCUCUAACGCAGAAUUUGACAAAGACGGAAGUGUACCGGCCGGAAUCAUCUUGCCUCGCCUGGUUCCUUUCUGUCACAACACCGCCGGGGACAUUUGAUGCACGUCAAAAGGAGGUUGGGUAUGGACCGCUGGUGUGGAUUCCCAUUGGUUUAGACGGCAUAUCAGUCGCCUAUGGAAACGGUCACGUCAUGAAACACCCCCUCCCCCUGUUCCCCUUUACUCAGUGUCGAUUUAUAAUAACAGGAUUAUUCAACAGUUCAACCCCAUCAUGUGAUGCAGCUUGUAAAAAGCAAAAACCGAAACCGUACUGCCACAUCGCUUUUGCUGUGCCUCCACCUAGGCUACACAAGUCUCUUCCUUUGGCGCCUAAUCAAACCUGACGUCAUUCUUUCCAUGACGUGGCGCUUUUCUUCUUCUGUGGAUUCAAUGACUCCAUUCUUUGGUCCUGUUGAAAAGACUAACACACUUGGCAAUCAGCCUUCCCAUUACAAGGAUCAAGCGACAGUGAGAUGCAAUGAACUGCAUUUCAUUAGAAUAUAUUGCUGAGCCAGGGGAGGCACUUAACAAGCAUGUAAUGAGGGGAAUGUUAAUACAGCAAGCCUAUGGCCCGCGGUAACUAAUAAAUAUGCCUUAAGAUCCCAAAUUAACGGCUUACAUCUAAGCCAUCGUAGAAUUUAAGCAGCGAGGCUGGUUGAGUGGCACCAACCAAACCAAUAAAUGGUCCGUCACACAACCCCACAUUCAAGGGCAAAUUGUCCUUUUUACAAUUGUGUGUGCAUGAUUUCUACGUUCAUUUGUGAAUCUGACAGGUGCUAGCACUUUUUAUGUCUUUGCGCUAAACUAAGCAGCUGCUACCUGUUGAUGAAAUGCAUGUGUAUAAAGUAAAAACAGCAUUCCUCAUGCAGAACUUAAUAGAUUUUUCCAGACAGCGUUUUCCUUCUUGUCAGCAGUGUGACGCGCAUUAUGCAUCUAAAUGUGGUCGGAAAAUAGACAGUAUUCUGCUUUGUGUCAUCGGAGACUGUUUGUUCAGUUGAAACCACUUAAUCUCCGCUUCAAUCCAAUUAAACACUUUGGGACCGCAGGAGUGUAAAAGACUGUGAAGCACCGCACAAAGGACCUUUUAGCUGUAUGUGUCCACACAACAAUCUGUGGGCUGUCUGGUCGUCUGAUUUGCUAAUGGUGAAAAUUCAUUAUCUGUUUCAGGGGGGAGGGGGGGCAUGCAUCUGCAACAGAAGCUGUCUCAGGAAAUGGAGCAUUGCGUAAAAAAGAAUUGUACAGACCACUUUCCCAACAGAUGUUGUCAGAAUCUGUUGAUUCAGGUCUUCAGUGGAAAUUUGCCAUAUGCUCUGGAGCGUUUGGUGAACUACUGUAAAUGUCAAGUGACAAUCGCCUGUCUGCAUGCUAAUGUGUUGUUCCU
ensembl:lncRNA